rnacentral:misc_RNA from 1 species
GUUAAAUUAAAAUUUUUAAGUUAAAUUAGAUAAAAAUUAAAAAUUAUAUUAAAAUAAACAUUUUCAAGAAGUAUAAGAUAUAAUUGAGUUUUAAUCCUUACACGUUGCAUUUUUUUUUCUCUCCUAGGUAAAGAGAAUUUUAUUACAUAAAAGGGCAUAAAAAUUCAGGGUUUAAGGCCCAAUUACAUGAAUCAAAUAAUCCAUCCCUAAUUCCCCUAAUAAAGUCU